AAAAGUCCAUAGCAGGCACACAGAAAAAAUGGUCUUUACCUUCAAAUGCAUAGCAGUUUGGGAAAAGGAACCACAGUUCAGAACUAAAGCCUUCUCUGGGAAAAAGAAUAAAAUGCAGAAGAAGCAAUCCAAGGCAGAGUUGCAGGGUCUCUGUUCUCAUUCCCAAACCACAAAAUGAGAGCCUUCAAUACACUUAAGCAAAUGCCAUUCAAAUUUCACGCCAGUUACACAGAGUCCACAUAAUUGGACCAUAUCCUUCCUUUCCCCAUCACUCUGCUGAAAUGUUCCCAUUUGCCAGGGUUUGGAACAAAGUAAGGGAGCUCCGCUGACUUAAGGUCAGCUUAGGGUAAUUAGCCUGGCACCAGUCCCAGCAGAAGUUAGACUCUCCUCCAGCAAAGACCUGCUCAAGGCCAAGCCUCCCUUUAAUUACCAGGGGCCUGGUAAGUUAUUUAGAGAACAUCCCCUGCUCCUAGCAUGGAUAAUUGCUCAGAGCCAGCUUCCUGAAGCUGCCAUGUCCUUUUUCUGUAUGUCCUGGGAUCCCUUCAGGUUGUCUCUGCACCCCCAUGCUCAUCAGUGUCUUGUUGCUUUUGCACAUGGCUGCAGACUCUAUGCUCUCAGAAGCCCUGCUGCCAACAAAACGGGCAAGUUCAUAGCUGUGGGCCUGCCGCUGCUGCUGCUGUCCCUAGCCCAGGAGUUUUCCAAUGUGUUGCUGCCACUACCCAGUGCAGCAGAAGGAGCCUACACCACCUUAUUCCUCUCAUUGCAUGGGAUCUGGAGUAAGACAGCUCUAUUAAGGCCAGAGCAAGUGUCUGAAUAUGCCCUCUGUUGAAGGUAAGAGGAACAUUCGACCUCAGCCAACUAGAUGCUCCCACUCAGGACUUUACUUCUGGAGCAAGCAGUGCAGAGGAACAAAGAUAAUUUCAGGUUGCUGUGGUUUGUUUGUCCCCACCAAUACGCGUGUUGAAAUUUGAUUCCCAUUGCGGUGGGGCUGGGCUGUGGGGUGGGAGGUGUUUGGGUCACGGGGCAGAUCCCUCAUGAGUGGCUCGGUGUCCUUCUGCAGCAGUGAGUGAGUUCUUGCUCUGGUGAGACUGGAUUUGUUCUCAAAGGAAUGAAUUCGUUCCCUGAAAAGUGGGUUGUUAUAAGCCAGGACGACCCUUGGGGUUUGCCUCUUUGCCUUUGUCUGCUUCCCCUUUGACCUUCUCUGCCAUGCUAUGACCUAGCACGAAAAGCCCUCACCAGAAUCUAAGCAGAUGCCAGGGCCAUGCAUCCCAUACUGCCUAGCCCGCAGAGCUGUGAGCUAAGUAAACCUCUGUUCUGUGUAAGUGAUCCAGUCUCAGGUGUGAUUAUCCAUUUGUGUUACAGCAACACAAAAUGAACUAAGAUACAGGUCCAUAAUGGAAAACACGAAGAUGGCAACCACUAGCAACCAGCUGUGUUGUGUGGUGCUAUCAGGUGACCAGAGGCCAGGGCUACUUAAACCAAUGCAGGCCUCAUUUAUGGCCUCAGCUGGGAUUCUGGCCGCCUGACUCCCCUGGAUCCUAAUUAUUCCCAGAUCUGGUUUCCCAGACUUCUCUAAUAGUCUAGUUGCCCUAUCUCUUUUCAAUGCAUUCCUUUCCUGCUGGAGUUCACCAGAGUCAGAUUCUAUUUUUUCACAGGUAAGAGCCAUCGCUGGUUAUAAUAGAAGCUGGCCAGAUGGCGCAUCUGAGGGAAAUGAUAGGGAGUGAGGAAAGUGCCCGGCAGCACAGCAGCCCUCUCAGACGCCUGUGGCUGCUAAUCAAUCCCCACCUUCCUCCUGGUAAAGUAGAAACAGCCUUUACCUUACUCUUCUGCAUCAUACUCACGCUGUGUUUGUUCUUGUUUUUCUCUUCCAGACUCCUUUUGUUGGCAUAGUAAGGCAAAAAAAAAAAAAAAAAAGAGAAAGAAAGAAAAUGAAAGAAAGCAAGAAAGAAAAAAAAAGAAGAAGAAAAUGUACGAACAGACCAGAUUCCAGAGACCAACAUCCUUGGUAAAGAGUGUGGGGAAGUCCGCAGUCAAUUUGUCUUAUGAGAACUACAUUUCAAGUGACUAACCCAAAUAUCAAUGCCCUAAUGCCAGCAAAACAACUAUAAACACACAUGCUUCCAAUCUAGAUAUCUAUAUUUGUAUCAGUUCGAAUUUUACUAAGAUUCUUAAAAU
ensembl:lncRNA